rnacentral:misc_RNA from 1 species
GUUACAUCUAAUUUCCAGUACAAUUGGAAACCAAAAAUGCUCUCAACUAAUUAUGUUUUUCCCCAUGAGAUAAUUAUACUUUUUUUUUUUGGAAUUUGUUGCAAAAUGGGUAUUUUAGAGUGUCAGCUAUUAUUCUUAUUUGCUUGAUACAAUUUUGUGUGCAAGUGAAUACUUUUCUUUUUUUAUCUGUGAGAUUCAAAAAUCAGAUUCUACUCUAAAGUGCAUUCAGUAAUUCAUCCCUCUACUAUGUGUUCCUCGUGUCUCAAAAUUGCUUGAAGGUCUCAGUGAGCUUGAGUAAAAAUCAUCCUGUGACACAAGGCACCCUGUCAAGCCUGAACCUUUUCUGUUUAAGAGAUUGAAUAACAAGUAGCAUGAUUUUUUGUCUAGGUUUUUUUCAGUGAUGAAUUGUAGUUUAACUUGUCUGUCUCAUGUGGAGUAGGGAAAAAUUUAUUUUUCUAAAGUUGGAGUCACAGUUUUCUGUGCAUAAGCAUUCUAUUGGUUCAAUAGUUGGCACUUUUCUGAUCAAGUAGCUUCGCAUUUUGCAUGUGGGGCCAUAUGAUGGACGC